AUUCGAUGCAACGCGAAGAACCUUACCAGUCCUUGACAUCCUGCGAACUUUCUAGAGAUAGAUUGGUGCCUUCGGGAACGCAGUGACAGGUGCUGCAUGGCUGUCGUCAGCUCGUGUCGUGAGAUGUUGGGUUAAGUCCCGUAACGAGCGCAACCCUUGUCCUUAGUUGCCAGCACUUCGGGUGGGAACUCUAGGGAGACUGCCGGUGACAAACCGGAGGAAGGUGGGGACGACGUCAAGUC
rnacentral:rRNA from 1 species